rfam:Archaeon 13_2_20CM_2_52_21 13_2_20cm_2_scaffold_339, whole genome shotgun sequence.
GGGCCCGUAGCUCAGCACGGAUAGUAGCGUCGGCCCUCUAUCAAAAAGAGGAUAGCCGAAGGUCGAGGGUUCAAAUCCCUCCGGGCCCG